rnacentral:rRNA from 1 species
UACGUAGGGUGCAAGCGUUGUCCGGAAUUAUUGGGCGUAAAGAGCUCGUAGGCGGUUUGUUGCGUCGGCUGUGAAAUCCCGAGGCUCAACCUCGGGUCUGCAGUCGAUACGAGCAAACUAGAGUGUUGCAGGGGAGACUGGAAUUCCUGGUGUAGCGGUGAAAUGCGCAGAUAUCAGGAGGAACACCGGUGGCGAAGGCGGGUCGCUGGGACGUUACUGACGCUGAGACGCGAAAGCGUGGGGAGCAAACAGG